AAAGGCUCUUUUCGGGUGAUGGCGGCUAGGAGUUGGUAGUUAUCGUCAGUUAGUGUUUUACCUUGGACAGAUUUGGAUCCAAUUGUUGCUUCACUGUGUUUCCCAGGAGAAAUUAUGAAGUGAAUUGGAAGGAGAUAGGAGGUUAAAAAUUAUUGAUGGUGGUGUUUUAUUAUUAUUAUUAUUAUUAUUAUUAUCACUUUACAACGCACAGAACAAAAAGUAAGGAUAAGUAACAUAA